rnacentral:misc_RNA from 1 species
UCCGAGUUGUCCCCGGCAGUCCCCUUAGAGUCCCCGGCUUUACCCGCUGGCAACUAAGGGUAGGGGUUGCGCUCGUUGCGGCACUUGAGCCAACAUCUCACGACACGAGCUGACGACAGCCAUGCACCACCUGUGCACUGGCCCCGAAGGGCUGCCGUAUUUCUACGACAUUCCAGUGCAUGUCAAGCCUUGGUAAGGUUCUUCGCGUCGCGUCGAAUUAAACCACAUGCUCCGCUGCUUGUGCGGGCCCCCGUCACUUCCUUUGAGUUUUAGCCUUGCGGCCGUACUCCCCAGGCGGGGCACUUAAUGCGUUAGCUACGGCACGGAACCCGUUGAUAGAGUCCCACACCUAGUGCCCAACGUUUACGGCGUGGACUAC